rnacentral:lncRNA from 1 species
UCUUGACAUAUCGUUAUCUCCACUGUCUCUAAUUGAGAAUUAUACUUCAAACAAACACCAAGAUUAUAUAGGUAGUGCUCGUAUAUAUACUCAGCAAGUGGAUGAGCACAUCCCUGUCUUAUGAUGAUACGAGGUUGUAUGUCAUUAGGCAUCUUGUAUGAUAGUGAAAAAACACCCUUCCAACGUUGGGUUCGCCUCACCCUCAACAGCUAUAGACCACCGUUUUAUUCCCCUAUUAUCCCCCACUCUACCCAGCUACACUUUUAUUACCUGAAAGGAAUUGUGAAGCAAAAGGGUGAGCACAACUAGCUCAGUAAAGAAUAUCAUGACUAAAGAUAAUUAAAUUAUCAAUAGCCUUCAUCAGUAAUAAAUCAG